rnacentral:rRNA from 1 species
UACGUAGGUGGCGAGCGUUGUCCGGAUUUACUGGGCGUAAAGAGCGCGCAGGCGGUCGUUCAAGUCGCGUGUGAAAGCCCCCGGCUCAACUGGGGAGGGUCACGCGAUACUGAUCGACUCGAAGGCAGGAGAGGGUAGUGGAAUUCCCGGUGUAGUGGUGAAAUGCGUAGAUAUCGGGAGGAACACCAGUGGCGAAGGCGGCGACCUGGUCCUUUUACUGACGCUGAGGCGCGAAAGCGUGGGGAGCAAACAGG